rnacentral:rRNA from 1 species
UACAGAGGUCUCAAGCGUUGUCCGGAAUCAUUGGGCGUAAAGAGCGUGUAGGCGGUCCGGUAAGUCCGCUGUGAAAGUCGGGGGCUCAACCCUCGAAUGCCGGUGGAUACUGUCGGGCUAGAGUGCGGAAGAGGCGAGUGGAAUUCCUGGUGUAGCGGUGAAAUGCGCAGAUAUCAGGAGGAACACCUAUUGCGAAGGCAGCUCGCUGGGACGUAACUGACGCUGAGGAGCGAAAGCGUGGGGAGCGAACAGG